rnacentral:rRNA from 1 species
UACAGAGGGGGCAAGCGUUGUUCGGAAUUAUUGGGCGUAAAGCGCGCGCAGGUGGUUCCUUAAGUCUGAUGUGAAAGCCCACGGCUCAACCGUGGAGGGUCAUUGGAAACUGGGGAACUUGAGUGCAGAAGAGGAAAGUGGAAUUCCAAGUGUAGCGGUGAAAUGCGUAGAGAUUUGGAGGAACACCAGUGGCGAAGGCGACUUUCUGGUCUGUAACUGACACUGAGGCGCGAAAGCGUGGGGAGCAAACAGG